UACGGGGGGGGCAAGCGUUGUUCGGAAUUACUGGGCGUAAAGGGCUCGUAGGCGGCCAACUAAGUCAGACGUGAAAUCCCUCGGCUUAACCGGGGAACUGCGUCUGAUACUGGAUGGCUUGAGUUUGGGAGAGGGAUGCGGAAUUCCAGGUGUAGCGGUGAAAUGCGUAGAUAUCUGGAGGAACACCGGUGGCGAAGGCGGCAUCCUGGACCAACACUGACGC
rnacentral:rRNA from 1 species